rnacentral:misc_RNA from 1 species
UAUUCACGACGCACACACACACACACACACAGACACACUUCAUUUGCCUCUCUCUGUCUUUUUGUUGCUUGUAACAGCCCUCUUUCCCGUUUCUUGCACCUCGGUUUCUAGAGAGUACCUAGCCCCUCUACCUCUCCCUCUCAAGUACAUGCAUAUACGCCCUUCGGCUUCUGCACCUGCUUCCUAGCUCCCACUCCUAAGCAGCAUACUUUUUUUUUCGGCAAAAGCCAUAUUUUACGUCGUAGGAUGGCUGACUUCAAACCCGCAAAGGAAGACAUGAUCGGGAAGAUGUCUUUUGUGGAAGGCUCGGCUCCCAGUGCCGGCGCGGACGCGUCGACUGACGCAGCCACGGCUCACAGCGCUUCUCUUGCGUACCCCGCGAGUGAUGAGCCGCUGCCCAGCUAUGUCUCCAUCAUCAUGUCUGAAAUUUCCAUCGCCGCCAAGGUGCAGCAGCUGUACCAUGUGAGUCGCCAGCACGUGAUGCGCAAUUUUAUGGCCCUCCGUCCGUGGUCAGAGUUCUUCGACACGACGUUCUUCCACUCGCCCUCUGGGGUGACGGACACCGUGAACCGUCUGAACCGAAAUCUCCCCUACUUUUACGCCAACUACUUGGUGCUGUCGCUGCUGUGCUCCUCCUACAUCCUUCUCAUCAACCUGCCGUUUGCAGUGUAUGCCGUGCUGAUGGUGACAUGGUACCUGUUCAUCCGAAGUCGUUCCGCCAUGGUGGCCGCCCUCGCCGCUCAAGGUGCCUCGGAAGAAGAGCAGAUGGUGUACAUCGCGAACCGCGCCUUCACGAUAUCGCAGCUGUACCUGAUGCUCAUUGUAUUCGGUGUUGUCGGCUUCUACCUCACCAGCGGCAGCUCUGUCAUCUUCUGGCUGUUGCUGACAUCGUUUGGUGUGUCGGUCGGCCAUGCGUCGAUGCGCCGUCCUCCCAUUCAAGACUCCGCCUUCGACCUUGUGUAGCGGUGAUGGGCUACCACACUCCUAGGUAGACCGGCACCACUCCCGCUUUCAAUGAAUUAGCCUCGGCGAUGCACAGAAGAGAUCGGGCAAAAAGGAGAGGCUAGGAUGGCGCUGCGGGCGCGUCCCGGUGCACAAUGCAAAGGGGUCAUGAACGCAAAUAGGGGGACCGAGGCCCAUGAAAGACCUCUGAGUCUGUGAGUGUAUGUGCACUUUUCGGCUGGCGUAUAUUGUGUGCAUAUGUAUAGCGCUCCACCGCAGGAAUUUGAACAAAUGACUUGAAGCUGGAGGCAUUGCGAGCACUUCACCCCCCUCUCCCCCUCCUCAUUCACCCUCCACACUUCGACAUGUCCAUCGGUCUACGGUUGUUUGCAUGUCUCAUGUGAGUUUGUUUGCCUUUUUACCCCUUCCCGAAACUGAUUGCCCUUACACAAGUCUGUGUGUGUGUCACUGUAAAUCGUGUUUCGUGAUUUUUGGGGAGGGGGGCGCUCUUUUUCCACAUGGCUCUACUCUUCUUGUCUCCUGAAGCGAUGUCAAUGUUGGAUCUCUUGUUGUUGCUGUUGUUGUUCUCGCCCUCUCUCGCACUCAUCGCCUCUUACCGAUUGUACAUGGGGGUGCCUUAGCCCUCCUAACCGCCAUGUAAUUGGUGUUGUGCUUGCCCCCCCCCUCGUUUAGCUCUCUAGCGACUGCAUAUCGCCACGCUCGCAGAGGCACCGGCUUUGUGUCUCAAACAUGACUGCGUGUGUUUCGUGGCGCGUGGAUGCGUGUUUCUGCAAUGGGUAUGUGCUUUCAGUCGAGAUGCGUCACCUUUGGAUUUCCACUCGCGCCCGUGUAGACUUUUAAAUUCAGACUCGAG